UUUUUUUUUUUUUUAAGAAAACAAUAGACCAGUAUCAUUUAUGAAUGUAGAUGAAAAACCAUCAAUAAAAUAUUACCAAAUCAAAUUCAAAAUUGUUUUGCAAUAAUUAUACACCAUAACAAACUGGUAUUUAUUUCCAGGUAUACAAGGCUUUUGCAACAUUUGAAAAUCAGUUCAUGUAAUCCAUCACAUCAACAAGCAAAGAAGAAAAGUCAUACGAUCAUGUCAAUAGAUGUAAAUAGAGCAUUUGACAAAAUCCAACACCUAUUCAUGAUUAAAAGGCUUAUAAAGCUAGGAAAAGAGGGGCUCUUCCUCAACUUGAUAAAAGAACAUCUACCAAAAAAAACUCCAGCUAACAUCAUACUUAGCGGUGAAAGACUGGGUACUUUCCUCUGAAGAUCAGGAACAAAACAAAGAUAUCUGCUAGAGAUGCGCUCUAUUUUUUUAAAAAAUUUGUUGGCACAUAGUUGAUUUACAAUGUUGAGUUAGUUUCCGCAAUGUAGCAAAGUGACUUGGUUAUAUUUCUUUCAUAUUCUUUUCCAAUAUGUUUGUUACAGAAUAUUGAAUAUUCCCUGUGCUAUAAAGUGGGUCCUUGUUGUUUACCCAUCUUAUAUAUACCAGUUUGCCUCUGCUAAUCCCAAACUCCCAAUCCUUCCCUCCCGUCCCCUCCCCCUUGACAACCACAAGUCUGUUCUGUCUGUGAGUAGAUAAGUUCAUCUGUGUCAUAUUUUAGAUUCCACCUAUAAGUGAUUAUCAUAUGGUAUUUGUCUGAUUUAUUUCACUUAGUGUGGUAAUUUCUAGUUGCAUCCAUGUGGCUGCAGAUGGCAUUAUUUCAUUCUUCUUUGUGCCCAGGUAAUACUCCAUGGAAUAUAUGUACCACAUUGUCUUGAUCCAUUCCUCUGUCAACGGACAUUUAGGCUGUUUCCAUGUCUUGGGUCCUGAAAAUAGUGCUGCAGUGAACACUGGAGUGCAUGUAUCUUUUUGAAUUAAGGUUUUCUCUAGAUAGAUGCCCAGGAGUAGGAUUGCUGGAUCAUAGGGUAGUUUUAUUUUUCAUUUUUUGAGGAACCUCCGUACUGUUCUCCAUAGUGGCUGCACCAAUUUACAUUCCCACUGACCGUGUAGGAGGGUUCCCUUUUUUCCACACCUUCUCUAGCAUUUGUUGUUUGUUGACUUUUUGGUGAUGGCUGCUGUGACCAUUGUGAGGUGGUACCUCAUGGUAGUUUUGACUUGAAUUUCUCUAAUCAUGAGUGAUGUGGACCUUCAGAUGCCCUUUAGAAAUGAUAGGUUCCUCCUUUUUCUUUUGUGGAACGUACCUUCCUGGCUUUACUUUUCUGCCUUCUUAAACCCCAUGAUUGACUGGCUGAAACAUUUUUGAGUGAGGAAUCUCAGUUUCUCUGACACCCCAUCCUUCCUCUCAACCUGCCACCCUCAUUCUAUGAUAUAAGCCACCUCCUUAACCUCAUGUUUACUCAAAGAGCAAAGGUGUGGGGAAUUGACAGAAAAGCAUUAGUGACUUUGGUUUCAAUUAGGUCUGGUUUAAAAAUUGUGUCUGACACAGUUACAUCUCCCUAGUAACCUUCUGGGUUUAUUAUUUUUCAGUUCAAUUUCAGAAACCAGGUGGCCUUUUAGGAAAUCUUCCAGAAAGUUUUAGUCUCUCAAGUCUGUGUGCUUCUGAGUAUGGUGGAUAGCUUGGUUAAAAAUGCAGUUUUUUUAGACUUGGGUCAGACUUGCUACUCAUAUUUUUAACCAAGCCCCACCCCAUGUACCUGAAUCUGAUGCAAAACCAAGUUUGAGCCUCACUACCGUAGAAAACAUUGUCUCUUUGAAUGGAGAUGCAUAUUCCUGAGCAUGGGGAGAUGUUAAGGACAUAAGGCAAAAUUUGCAUGGUCAUCAGUGUUUCCUCUUGGAAGACGGGUGAGAGCAUCAACCACGGUGCUUUUAAAGGUCCUGGAUGAAAAAUGCCCAUGGUUUGGCUCCACCUGCUGGCAAUUCAGUGCAAUACUUUUCAGGUGGGGUUCAGCACCUUUCGUUUUUCAAAAGCAGCUCAGGUAAUUCUAUUUGCUGUAUUAUGGCACGAGGCAUCUGUAGUGGAAAGAAAUGUAGGCUUUGGAUAGCAGUAUUCCAGUUAGAUGUAAGUUAAUAUGUUCAUCAAUAUACGGGCAGUAUUGGAGUUGUUAUUCAAAGAACUUAGAGAUGUAAUAUCUUAUAAAAGUCUAUAGACUUACUACCAGUUCUUUUUUUUUUUUUUUUUUUUUAAAUAUUGCUACCACCAAGCCUUGAAAAUCAUAUUAGGCUUACUUCUUCCCUCAGUGAAAUCACAUUUAAAUUCAGAAUCACCAGUGCUAGUUUACAUUAGGUUCAAGACAGCCAGUCCUAAAAUAGCCUUAAUGAUGCAUGCAAAGCAUUUUCCUAGGAACAGACUCUGGACUCAUUAGUGUCUGAAGCCAUCAGUCAUUACUCAUCAGGUAUGCUGGCGAUCACUGGGAAACGAUGCCAGAAAUGUGCGCCUUCUCCUACCAGCUACACAGCCAUGGGGAAUUCACGCAACUUUAAAUUACCCAAGUGGGAAAGGAUUGACUUUGCACUUGUUCUUGUUUCUUCAGAAUACCUUUUUCUGGCUGUAAGGUAGCAAUGGAAAACUACCAUGUAAAGUUCGAAAUGAUCUCCUGAAGUUUCUAGGGUGUUUUUCCCUGUGUCCUUACCAGAGUCGGGGUGUAAUUGGCCCAGGAGCUCGGGGCCUCCCAGAUGCAGCUGGCUCACAGCCAACUGUGAGCUUGAGCCAGACCCCACAUGGCUAGGUUUCAUCUUUUCUUUUUGAAAACGAGAGGCUCAGAUCUGCUUGCUAAAGGCUCUUUUAACUGCAAAUAUCAAGAUGAUGAGACGUGGUGUUUCAAGAUAUUUCAUUGAAAUUUCUCACGUAGAAAAAGCGCCUUCACAUAGACAUAGAGAACAGACUUGUAGUUGCUGGGGUGGUGGGGGGAGGAUUGGGAGUCUGGGAUUAGCAGAUGCAAACUAGAAUAUAUAGAAUGGAUAAACAACAAAGGGCCCUACUGGGUAGCACAGGGUACUAUGCCUGAUAUCCUGUAAUAAAGCAGAAUGGAAAAGAAUAUAUAUGAUGGAAGAUAGUAUGAGACAAAGAGUGUGUGUGUGUGAAUGACGGGGUCAGUAUGCUGUAAGCAGAAAUAGGUAUGACAUUGUAAAUCUAUGAUAAUUUUAAAAAUAUAUGAAAAAAUAUAUAUGUAUGACUGCGUCGCUUGGCUGUACAGCAGAAAUUACCACACCAUUGUCAGUCAAAUCUACUUCAAUAAAAUUUAAAAAAAAGAAAAA
rnacentral:lncRNA from 1 species